GCUUAGAGUUUGAUCCUGGCUCAGGAUGAACGCUGGCGGCGUGCCUAAGGUAUGCAAGUCGAUCGCGUAAAGGCGCUUGCGCUUCUACGCGAGGCGAACGGCUGAGUAACACGUAGGUACCUUCCCUUUAGUCAAGGAUAACCUCCCGAAAGGGUGGACAAUCCUGGAUGUAGUCCCGAUUUAUCGGGAUUAAAGGCUUCGGCCGCUAAAAGACGGGCCUGCGCCUUAUCAGAUUGUUGGUGGGGUAAAAGCUCACCAAGUCGAUGACGGGUAGCUAGGCUGAGAGGUUGUUUAGCCAGACUGGGACUGCGACACGGCCCAGACUCCUACGGGAGGCAGCAAUUAGGAAUCUUGCGCAAUGGGGGAAACCCUGACGCAGCGACGCCGCGUGGUGGAUGAAGGCCUUCGGGUCGUAAACACCUUUUGUAUGGGAACAAGUUCUGAGUGUACCAUACGAAUAAGCACCUUCUAACUACGUGCCAGAAGAAUCGGUGAUACGUAGGGUGCAAGCGUUAUCCGGAAUUACUGGGCGUAAAGAGAUGCGUAGGCGUCUUAGUAAGUCUUUAGUGAAAUCUUUCGGCUCAACCGGAAAAUUGCUGAAGAAACUACUUUGAUUGAGUCAGAUAGAGGAGGAGGGAAUUCCUGGUGGAGCGGUGAAAUGCGUUGAUAUCAGGAGGAACACCAAUUGGCGAGGCACUUCUCUGGGUCUAGACUGACGCUAAGGCUCGAAAGCGUGGGGAGCAAAACGGAUUAGAUACUCGUGUAGUCCACGCCGUAAACGAUCCCUACUAGAUAUUU
rnacentral:rRNA from 1 species